CGCGUAGGCGGCCUCUGCAAGUCGACUGUGAAAUCUCCGGGCUUAACCCGGAAAGGUCAGCCGAUACUGCAGGGCUAGAGUGCAGAAGGGGCAACUGGAAUUCUCGGUGUAGCGGUGAAAUGCGUAGAUAUCGAGAGGAACACCUGCGGCGAAGGCGGGUUGCUGGGCUGACACUGACGCUGAGGCGCGAAAGGCUAGGGGAGCGAACG
rnacentral:rRNA from 1 species